rnacentral:rRNA from 1 species
AUGAACGCUAGCUACAGGCUUAACACAUGCAAGUCGAGGGGCAGCAUGGUCUUAGCUUGCUAAGGCCGAUGGCGACCGGCGCACGGGUGAGUAACACGUAUCCAACCUGCCGUCUACUCUUGGACAGCCUUCUGAAAGGAAGAUUAAUACAAGAUGGCAUCAUGAGUCCACAUGUUCACAUGAUUAAAGGUAUUCCGGUAGACGAUGGGGAUGCGUUCCAUUAGAUAGUAGGCGGGGUAACGGCCCACCUAGUCUUCGAUGGAUAGGGGUUCUGAGAGGAAGGUCCCCCACAUUGGAACUGAGACACGGUCCAAACUCCUACGGGAGGCAGCAGUGAGGAAUAUUGGUCAAUGGGCGAGAGCCUGAACCAGCCAAGUAGCGUGAAGGAUGACUGCCCUAUGGGUUGUAAACUUCUUUUAUAAAGGAAUAAAGUCGGGUAUGCAUACCCGUUUGCAUGUACUUUAUGAAUAAGGAUCGGCUAACUCCGUGCCAGCAGCCGCGGUAAUACGGAGGAUCCGAGCGUUAUCCGGAUUUAUUGGGUUUAAAGGGAGCGUAGAUGGAUGUUUAAGUCAGUUGUGAAAGUUUGCGGCUCAACCGUAAAAUUGCAGUUGAUACUGGAUAUCUUGAGUGCAGUUGAGGCAGGCGGAAUUCGUGGUGUAGCGGUGAAAUGCUUAGAUAUCACGAAGAACUCCGAUUGCGAAGGCAGCCUGCUAAGCUGCAACUGACAUUGAGGCUCGAAAGUGUGGGUAUCAAACAGGAUUAGAUACCCUGGUAGUCCACACGGUAAACGAUGAAUACUCGCUGUUUGCGAUAUACAGCAAGCGGCCAAGCGAAAGCGUUAAGUAUUCCACCUGGGGAGUACGCCGGCAACGGUGAAACUCAAAGGAAUUGACGGGGGCCCGCACAAGCGGAGGAACAUGUGGUUUAAUUCGAUGAUACGCGAGGAACCUUACCCGGGCUUAAAUUGCAGAUGAAUUACGGUGAAAGCCGUAAGCCGCAAGGCAUCUGUGAAGGUGCUGCAUGGUCGUCGUCAGCUCGUGCCGUGAGGUGUCGGCUUAAGUGCCAUAACGAGCGCAACCCUUGUUGUCAGUUACUAACAGGUUCUGCUGAGGACUCUGACAAGACUGCCAUCGUAAGAUGUGAGGAAGGUGGGGAUGACGUCAAAUCAGCACGGCCCUUACGUCCGGGGCUACACACGUGUUACAAUGGGGGGUACAGAGGGCCGCUACCACGCGAGUGGAUGCCAAUCCCAAAAACCUCUCUCAGUUCGGACUGGAGUCUGCAACCCGACUCCACGAAGCUGGAUUCGCUAGUAAUCGCGCAUCAGCCACGGCGCGGUGAAUACGUUCCCGGGCCUUGUACACACCGCCCGUCAAGCCAUGGGAGCCGGGGGUACCUGAAGUGCGUAACCGCGAGGAGCGCCCUAGGGUAAAACUGGUGACUGGGGCU